GUUCACCUAUGGUGCUUCCCACUCAGUGGAUCAAGUAAAUCAAGCAGGCUACAGUAGUUGCAGUUCAAGCAAUGCCAUCGGAACCCAUAGUGAUGGGAACACAUCAAUCCCCCUCUCACAAGCUGGUCCAGUCUACUUCAUCUGCCCUACUCCAGGUCACUGUGCCAGUGGCAUGAAGGUUACAGUCACUGUUGUGGCAGCUGGCAGCCCUCCUACCACUUCUCCCACAACUCCAUCUCCACCCACCUCCACUCCGUCUCCACCCACCUCCACUCCGUCUCCACCCACCACUCCUGCCAGCAAUAAUGGUUCGUCGCCGCCACCCCCGCCACCUUCCGGAGCAGCAGCUCUUAGCAUGAAUAUGCUUGGGGUUCCACUUGCGCUGGCAACCUUGGUUGCAUUCAUGGGCUAGGGAGGAGGCAGUGCGGUUGAUCUUUU
rnacentral:lncRNA from 1 species